rnacentral:lncRNA from 1 species
GGGAUCUAAUUUUUGUACAUAUCUUAAUAACAAAUGUAGAAACAUGGAGAGCUUCAACGGUGCAUAAUUGUACGAGCGUAAUGAUAAAUCCAUUGUGUCCGCACGUGACGCAGCUGAGAGAUGCAUUUGCUGAUAUGGAAGAUGAAGAUUUUUAAGUUUGAUAUAGUUUAAUUCAGACUUUGUUUUUUUUUUUUUUGAUCUAAUGAUCAGCGCGUCGAUUAUUAAAGUUUGCUAGGUUUUCAAUGAUGAUCUAUAUUUAUUUAAAUUUUACGAAUUAAUAGUAAA